UACAGAGGUCCCAAGCGUUGUUCGGAUUCACUGGGCGUAAAGGGUGCGUAGGCGGUCGGGUAAGUCUGAUGUGAAAUCUCACAGCUUAACUGUGAAACUGCAUUGGAUACUAUCCGGCUAGAGGAAUGGAGGGGAGACUGGAAUACUUGGUGUAGCAGUGAAAUGCGUAGAUAUCAAGUGGAACACCAGUGGCGAAGGCGGCAUCCUGGCCAUGUCCUGACGCUCAGGGGCGAAAGCGUGGGGAGCAAACCGG
rnacentral:rRNA from 1 species